rnacentral:rRNA from 1 species
GAUGAACGCUGGCGGCGUGCCUAAUACAUGCAAGUCGAGCGAACAGAUGAGGAGCUUGCUCCUCUGACGUUAGCGGCGGACGGGUGAGUAACACGUGGAUAACCUACCUAUAAGACUGGGAUAACUUCGGGAAACCGGAGCUAAUACCGGAUAAUAUAUUGAACCGCAUGGUUCAAUAGUGAAAGACGGUUUUGCUGUCACUUAUAGAUGGAUCCGCGCCGCAUUAGCUAGUUGGUAAGGUAACGGCUUACCAAGGCAACGAUGCGUAGCCGACCUGAGAGGGUGAUCGGCCACACUGGAACUGAGACACGGUCCAGACUCCUACGGGAGGCAGCAGUAGGGAAUCUUCCGCAAUGGGCGAAAGCCUGACGGAGCAACGCCGCGUGAGUGAUGAAGAUCUUCGGAUCGUAAAACUCUGUUAGUAGGGAAGAACAAAUGUGAAAGUAACUAUGCACGUCUUGACGGUACCUAAUCAGAAAGCCACGGCUAACUACGUG